rnacentral:rRNA from 1 species
CCUACGGGAGGCAGCAGUGGGGAAUAUUGGGCAAUGGGCGCAAGCCUGACCCAGCAACGCCGCGUGAAGGAAGAAGGCUUUCGGGUUGUAAACUUCUUUUAAGAGGGAAGAGCAGAAGACGGUACCUCUGGAAUAAGCCACGGCUAACUACGUGCCAGCAGCCGCGGUAAUACGUAGGUGGCAAGCGUUGUCCGGAUUUACUGGGGGGAAAGGGCGUGCAGCCGGGAAGACAAGUCAGAUGGGAAAUCCCGCGGCUCAACCGCGGAACUGCAUUUGAAACUGUUUUUCUUGAGUACCGGAGAGGUCAUCGGACUUCCUUGUGUAGCGGUGACAUGCGUAGAUCUCAGGAAGAACCCCAGUGGCGACGGCGGAUGACUGGACGGCACCUGACGGUGCGGCGCGAACGCGUGGGGAGCACACAGGAUUAGAUACCCCUGUAGUC